rnacentral:rRNA from 1 species
GUCCACGCCGUAAACGAUGUCUACUAGCCGUUGGGGAACUUGAUUCUUUAGUGGCGCAGCUAACGCACUAAGUAGACCGCCUGGGGAGUACGGCCGCAAGGUUAAAACUCAAAUGAAUUGACGGGGGCCCGCACAAGCGGUGGAGCAUGUGGUUUAAUUCGAUGCAACGCGAAGAACCUUACCAGGUCUUGACAUCCUGCGAAUUUUCUAGAGAUAGAUUAGUGCCUUCGGGAACGCAGUGAC